rnacentral:rRNA from 1 species
UGGGGAAUAUUGGACAAUGGGGGCAACCCUGAUCCAGCAAUGCCGCGUGUGUGAAGAAGGUCUUCGGAUUGUAAAGCACUUUCGACGGGGACGAUGAUGACGGUACCCGUAGAAGAAGCCCCGGCUAACUUCGUGCCAGCAGCCGCGGUAAUACGAAGGGGGCUAGCGUUGCUCGGAAUGACUGGGCGUAAAGGGCGUGUAGGCGGUUUACACAGUCAGAUGUGAAAUCCCCGGGCUUAACCUGGGAGCUGCAUUUGAUACGUGUAGACUAGAGUGUGAGAGAGGGUUGUGGAAUUCCCAGUGUAGAGGUGAAAUUCGUAGAUAUUGGGAAGAACACCGGUGGCGAAGGCGGCAACCUGGCUCAUGACUGACGCUGAGGCGCGAAAAGCGUGGGGAGCAAACAGGAUUAGAUACCCUGGUAGUCCACGCUGUAAAACGAUGUGUGCUAGAUGUUGGGUAACU